AGUGAACGCUGGCGGUAGGCCUAACACAUGCAAGUCGAACGGCAGCACAGUAAGAGCUUGCUCUUACGGGUGGCGAGUGGCGGACGGGUGAGGAAUACAUCGGAAUCUACUUUUUCGUGGGGGAUAACGUAGGGAAACUUACGCUAAUACCGCAUACGACCUACGGGUGAAAGCAGUGGAUCUUCGGACCUUGCGCGAUUGAAUGAGCCGAUGUCGGAUUAGCUAGUUGGCGGGGUAAAGGCCCACCAAGGCGACGAUCCGUAGCUGGUCUGAGAGGAUGAUCAGCCACACUGGAACUGAGACACGGUCCAGACUCCUACGGGAGGCAGCAGUGGGGAAUAUUGGACAAUGGGCGCAAGCCUGAUCCAGCCAUACCGCGUGGGUGAAGAAGGCCUUCGGGUUGUAAAGCCCUUUUGUUGGGAAAGAAAAGCAGCAGGUUAAGACCCCGCUGUUCUGACGGUACCCAAAGAAUAAGCACCGGCUAACUUCGUG
rnacentral:rRNA from 1 species